rnacentral:lncRNA from 1 species
AACUUACUUCUUUAAACACAUAAUUAUUUUUUGAAAAAUAGACAAUGAAUCUUUUUCUCAAGACUAUGAAUUGAAAAAGUUUGACUAUUCCAAAUUCAAAAUAAAUGUUAGAAUCCUACAAGGAAUUAAAUGCAACAUUCUUAGAAAGUAAUUAUGCAAUCAAUUCUUGUUGAUUUCAUUUUCACUCAAAUUGUACAUUGCAUACUUGAAGGAAAUUGUAAAUCAAAUUCAAUCGAUUAGAGUUGGCCAACAAAAUGAUGGGAUCAAUUUCAAUUUUGCAUAAAAUGAAGCAAUUCUAACACGAACUCAAAUCACACUAUGUUUUAUUAAAACUCUAAUAAGAAUUGUGAAUGCAUUUCAACAAAACUCAACGUUAAUUUCUUAAAAGAAAUAUAAACUGCAUACAAAAAGCACGAGAUGCUUCAAGAAUUCGAGAAACAAACUCAAAGAAUUAAUUUGGAAAUAAAAUACAGAAAAAUUGAAUUGAUGUUCUUGAAAAGGAUUAAGAAAAUAUCUACAAUAACCUUGAAAAAUUAGUGAAAACCCUCCAAAGAAUAGCAAAACCCAAUGCUCUUUACCUCACAAAGUACUUACCCCUCUAUUUGGAUCAAGCAAAUGAGCCGGAAAUUUGAAGAGAAAAAUGGUAGAAAGCUAAGAAAAGCUAAGAAA